GUGAACGCUGGCGGUAGGCCUAACACAUGCAAGUCGAACGGCAGCACAGUAAGAGCUUGCUCUUACGGGUGGCGAGUGGCGGACGGGUGAGGAAUACAUCGGAAUCUACUUUUUCGUGGGGGAUAACGUAGGGAAACUUACGCUAAUACCGCAUACGACCUACGGGUGAAAGCAGGGGAUCUUCGGACCUUUCGCGAUUGAAUGAGCCGAUGUCGGAUUAGCUAGUUGGCGGGGUAAAGGCCCACCAAGGCGACGAUCCGUAGCUGGUCUGAGAGGAUGAUCAGCCACACUGGAACUGAGACACGGUCCAGACUCCUACGGGAGGCAGCAGUGGGGAAUAUUGGACAAUGGGCGCAAGCCUGAUCCAGCCAUACCGCGUGGGUGAAGAAGGCCUUCGGGUUGUAAAGCCCUUUUGUUGGGAAAGAAAAGCAGCAGGUUAAUACCCCGCUGUUCUGACGGUACCAAAAGAAUAAGCACCGGCUAACUUCGUG
rnacentral:rRNA from 1 species